GACAGAGGGUGCAACCGUUGUUCGGAAUUACUGGGCGUAAAGUGUGCGCAGGCGGCCGAGCAAGUCGAGUGUGAAAGCCCCGAGCUUAACUUGGGAACUGCGCUCGAAACUACUUGGCUAGAGUGUGGCAGAGGGAGGUGGAAUUCCACGUGUAGCGGUGAAAUGCGUAGAGAUGUGGAGGAACACCGAUGGCGAAGGCAGCCUCCUGGGCCAACACUGACGCUCAUGCACGAAAGCGUGGGGAGCAAACAGG
rnacentral:rRNA from 1 species